rnacentral:tRNA from 1 species
GUUAAGUUAGUUUUAUUAUAGAAUUUGUAAUUUGUAAUUACAGGGAAAUCUUAGCU